rnacentral:lncRNA from 1 species
AAGCUUCGCUUAUCCAAGCUUCUGGAUUAUCCAAGCCAUUUUUGUAGUCAAUGUUUUCAAUAUAUUGUGAUAUUUUGGUGCUAAAUUUGUAAAUACAGUAAUUACAACAUAAUUACUGCGUAUUGAACUACUUUUUCUGUCAAAUUUGUUGUAUAACAUGAUGUUUUGGUGCUUAAUUUGAAAAUCAUAACCUAAUUUGAUGUUUAAUAGGCUUUUCCUUAAUGCCUCCUUAUUAUCCACAUAUUCACUUAUCCAACAUAAACGGGCCGGCAGAAUGUUGGAUAAGUGAAUAUGUUGAAUAAUAAGGAGGCAUUAAGGAAAAGCCUAUUAAACAUCAAAUUAGGUUAUGAUUUUGCAAAUUAAGCACCAAAACAUCAUGUUAUACAACAAAUUUGACAGAAAAAGUAAUUCAAUACGCAGUAAUACUAUGUAGUAAGUACUGUAUUUACGAAUUUAGCACCAAAAUAUCAUGAUGUAUUGAAAACAUUGACUACAAAAAUGCGUUGGAUAUUCCAAAACAUUGGAUAAGCGAGUGUUGGAUAAGUGAGACUCUACUGUAGUUGGACACCCUAUUCAGCACUAACAUGUCUGUUAAUGCAUCGUGAUUCAAUCUCAGAAUUUAAAGAACUAAGAAAUAAAAGGACUGGCCUUGGGUAGAUGAAUCUCUCAGUUCUUUUUCCAUGAUUUUUUAAAAUCCAAAGCUCUUUCUACUUUGAACAUUGAUCGAUUUUCUCCAGAAAUAAACUGAAAUAAAUUUCUUAGGCAUCCCUAUCAAAGUCUCAAGUAGGCCUUUCUGCAGAGCUUGGGAAAGUUA